AGAGUUUGAUCAUGGCUCAGAACGAACGUUGGCGGCGUGGAUUAGGCAUGCAAGUCGAACGAAUGCCGGGUAGCAAUAUCAGGCGGAAGUGGCGAAAGGGGCAGUAAUACAUGGAUAACCUACCCUGGGGAUGGGCAUAGCCGGUCUAACGGCCGGGUAAUACCCAGAGAUUCGGCGAAGUGGCAUCACUUUGCCGGGAAAUGAGUUUCGCCUCGGGAGGGGUCCAUGUCGUAUUACCUAGUUGGUGAGGUAACGGCUCACCAAGGGGAAGAUGCGUAGCGGGUGUGAGAGCACGACCCGCGCCACUGGCACUGAGACACUGGCCAGACACCUACGGGUGGCUGCAGUCGAGGAUCUUCGUCAAUGGGCGAAAGCCUGAACGAGCGACGCCGCGUGUGCGACGAAGGCCUUCGGGUUGUAAAGCACAAAAGAGAUAAGAAAGGGCAACUUGAUCGAAUCUCAGUAAGCUCGGGCUAAGUUCGUGCCAGCAGCCGCGGUAAGACGAACCGAGCGAACGUUGUUCGGAAUCACUGGGCUUAAAGGGCGCGUAGGCGGGCAUCCAAGUCUGUGGUGAAAUACUCCGGCUCAACCGGAGAACUGCCUCGGAUACUGGGUGCCUCGAGGGGGAUAGGGGUGUGUGGAACUAUCGGUGGAGCGGUGAAAUGCGUUGAUAUCGAUAGGAACUCCGGUGGCGAAGGCGACACACUGGAUCUCAUCUGACGCUGAGGCGCGAAAGCCAGGGGAGCAAACGGGAUUAGAUACCCCGGUAGUCCUGGCCCUAAACGAUGGGUACUAGCUAGUAGGGUUCACAUGGCUUUACUGGCGAAGCAAAAGUGCUAAGUACCCCGCCUGGGGAGUAUGGUCGCAAGGCUGAAACUCAAAUGAAUUGACGG
rnacentral:rRNA from 1 species